CCUUCGAUAGCUCAGUUGGUAGAGCGGAGGACUGUAGGUGAAAAAACAUAGGCAUCCUUAGGUCGCUGGUUCAAUUCCGGCUCGAACGA
rfam:Oryzias latipes DNA, chromosome14, strain: Hd-rR.